rnacentral:rRNA from 1 species
UACGUAGGGGGCAAGCGUUGUCCGGAUUCAUUGGGCGUAAAGAGCGUGUAGGCGGCCAGGUAGGUCGGUUGUGAAAACUGGAGGCUCAACCUUCAGAGGUCGACCGAAACCAUCUGGCUAGAGUCCGGGAGAGGAGAGUGGAAUUCCUGGUGUAGCGGUGAAAUGCGUAGAUAUCAGGAGGAACACCUGCGGUGUAGACGGCUUACUGGACCAUCACUGACGCUGAGGCACGAAAGCGUGGGUAGCAAACAGG